CCAGUUAUUACUACUUGAACAGAUUAAGCGACAAAGACUUGUUCUGGUUUUUUUAGAACUUAUUAUAGAGUUGGUAAAUAAACGGCAAGCUUGGUUAUCCUAUAGUUUUGCCUACUGCAUAUGCAUUUCCUAUAGACAUGGUUUCUAUGCAACUGAUUUACAUGAAUAUCAAGUCCUAUAGGCAGGAUUUCUAAUGACUUGAAAUAUGACUCAAUAUUAAACCUUAUAUGCAAAUUCUCUAUAUGACAGGAUUGUGUUAUGCAUUAAGUCUGUUGACAUAGUAGCUAGGUGAUCGAGUUAAAAUGUAAAACCUAUAGGCAUGAUAUCUUGAUGAUUGAUUUACCAUAUUAUUUCAAUAGGCAUGAUAUCUACCCUUUAGUAAAUGCAAGUAAAGUAAAUCCCUCCCACUUUUUCACCAAUAUUCCCCGAGUUUUUUUUUACAAAAUUAUUACAGAACCAGAAGAAAGAAGGAUAAUUAAAAUACAUCACAGUCUACAGUUAGAUCCAAGACCUAAUUCAAUCUUAGUGUCCAAUAACAUGUGUUUCACCAAUUCCGAAAUCCAGAUUUCCAAGGCCUUCUCUAAAUCAAAGUGUUUCAGAGUUCCAAGGAGCUUCAGGAGCUCAAGGCAGUGCUUACGCUAUAGCUAAAUGUUAUAAUAGAAUAGUGCAGUGUGGAAUAGCCUGCCCUCAGGCAUCCAAGUUCAGAGGGACCUCCAGGGUCCCAAAGCAUGGCUUACCAGAUAGGCGCAGAACUUAAAACUAGGAAUAAGUGCAAAAGUGAGAGAGGGGUUAGGGAGCCAUAGCAGAGAGUGGUCAUAUCCAGCCAUGGGCAUAGACUGGCACACCCCUAACCAUCUGCUUGGUCCAAACAAUUAAGAGCAGACUUUUUGGAAGUCAGACUUGGGUCUGGAUGGUGAUUAGGACACCACCAGACAUGAGUCAAGGCUAACACAUAAAGGGUAAAAGGAAUGGGAAUAGUUUUGAGUAAAGGUUCAAGAGAACCUAGUUCUAGUUCAUGGAUAGCAAUAAUAGUAUGCUGCCAUCACUCAGAAUAGUACUAUCACACAAGAAAGGGUCAAAGGGAAAGGGACUCGCAUAGAGAACAGUCACAGAAGCACAAGAAAAGCAUAACAGACUAAGGGUGCAGAAUCAUAGAGAAAGAGACAGAGCAGACAUAGGGUAAGAAAGCAUAAAGUAAACACUUAGUGAAAAUGCAUAAAAGGAGAGAAGGAAUAAACACAUAGUUAGGACGGUAUUAUUUAACUAGAAAGACAUACCAACGGCAAUUUUUAGUACAACAGAACAAGCAAAAGUAAGUAACUAGCGAGAAAGUCAGCAAGAGCAAACUCAGAACCAUCAGCAAGUAUUUGAGAGUUAAUGAGGAAACUAGGAAUAUUUCAUACAGUAGAAGAGAGAGGAGUAGAGUACUCAGUAUCAGAAAUAGAGAAGGUAGUAGUAAAGAGAGUAUUUGAAAUCGUGUAGUGAAAGGUGUUCAAAGUAUUUUUACAUUCAAAAGUUUGUGUGUAAUCUGAAGUGUGUGUGUUGAGAGAAGAAGCAAGUAUUUCUACUUUGAAAUUAGACAGGUAACAAGGCAUGAAAAUAAUCAAGUAUCAAUUAAAAAUCAAUCAGUAGAAGAAGAUUCCUCUAAUUAAGGGAUUCAAAUUUGAAUGGUACAAGACAAGAAACAUUUAAAGAAAGGGGAUCAAAUAAACACAUUGUGCACAUCAUGCAAAUAAGGGUAAAUACAUGCGGAUCUUAAUUAAGGAAAAGGAAUUUUGAAAUAUACGGUUAAGUAAAUAAGGCAAAGAAGUAAAAUGAUUAGCACAUAGUAAAUCAGAGAAUCUCUUCCCAAAUCACUAAUGAACCAAGCCAAACAAUAGGGGAAUCAAGAGGUUCAGAUUAAACAAGGAAAGAAACGAUCGAAUUCACACAAGAAAGUGAGAAAUCAAUCCCCAAAUUAAAGGUUGUUCUGAGAGGGAAAAUCUAACUAUAAAGAAGACAUGAGAUUUAGACAUGCUAGGCUGGACCCAAACAAAAAAGAAAGUAUCAUGCAACCAAAGACCAGUGAGUAGAGGACUAUAGCUAAAGAGAGUCUCAAAUAGCAUGCAAGGUCAGAUAAAAGGUCCUAUAGAGUUUAGCAAAAAUCAGAUCCACAAGGUUGAAACAAAGGUGAACUCGAAAAUUAGGGCUUUGAAACCAAACUAGUUCUGAGAUGAGAAGCAAACAAGUCACAUACGAGUGGUCUCAAGAACUCGACUGAAAAACCCCCAAAUUCUAGGUCUUCUACUAUUAAUCGAGCGUAGGGACGAAAGCAAGCAAAUUAGACAAGAGCAACAAUAAGUUUAGAAAACCCCAAAAGAACUAAAACCUUAAGCAUUUCAGGAAAACAUGAUAAAAGAACAAAAUACUGUAAAAGAACUCAUAAAGAAAUGGUAGAAGAAAGCAUGGCGGAUGAAAACACAGAAGAAUAAUAGUAGAGCAAAUACUGUAAAAGAAACAUAUAGGAGUCACAGUAGAACAGGUAAAAUUAAAGAAAAACCCUAAGUUGGAGAAGACGAACAGUUUGAAAGAAACUUGAGAAAUCAUUUGAAACCCCUAAAAGAAACACAAAUCUAGAGGAAACAGGAGAAACUCAAAAGGCUAGGGUUUCAGAAGAACCUUAGAAGCGAGAAAGGCCUGGAAAUGGUCUGCUCUGAGCCGGAUGAGCCAGAGGUAGGUUCAUAGGACCAAGAUGUGCUGAGCAAAGCCGGAGACGGUCGUGAAACUUGAAUCGGUGAAGACUGAGCCAUAACCUUCAAGGCCAGACCUUGCAUCUUCAAGUAACAGAUGUAUAGGAACACGGGAGGUGGUUACAGGCUGCUCAGGGCUUGGGACACCAUUGAUUCCGGUGAGAAUGAGACGGAAUUAGGCGGAACAAGGCU
rnacentral:lncRNA from 1 species